rnacentral:rRNA from 1 species
UGCAAGUCGACGGUAACAGGGAGCUUGCUCCGCUGACGAGUGGCGAACGGGUGAGUAAUAUAUCGGAACGUACCCAAGAGUGGGGGAUAACGUAGCGAAAGUUACGCUAAUACCGCAUACGAUCUAUGGAUGAAAGUGGGGGAUCUCAAGACCUCGUGCUCCUGGAGCGGCCGAUAUCUGAUUAGCUAGUUGGUGAGGUAAAGGCUCACCAAGGCGACGAUCAGUAGCUGGUCUGAGAGGACGACCAGCCACACUGGAACUGAGACACGGUCCAGACUCCUACGGGAGGCAGCAGUGGGGAAUUUUGGACAAUGGGCGCAAGCCUGAUCCAGCAAUGCCGCGUGAGUGAAGAAGGCCUUCGGGUUGUAAAGCUCUUUUGUCAGGGAAGAAACGGUACAGGCUAAUAUCCGGUGCUAAUGACGGUACCUGAAGAAUAAGCACCGGCUAACUACGUGCCAGCAGCCGCGGUAAUACGUAGGGUGCAAGCGUUAAUCGGAAUUACUGGGCGUAAAGCGUGCGCAGGCGGUUUUGUAAGUCUGUCGUGAAAUCCCCGGGCUCAACCUGGGAAUUGCGAUGGAGACUGCAAGGCUAGAAUCUGGCAGAGGGGGGUAGAAUUCCACGUGUAGCAGUGAAAUGCGUAGAGAUGUGGAGGAACACCGAUGGCGAAGGCAGCCCCCUGGGUCAAGAUUGACGCUCAUGCACGAAAGCGUGGGGAGCAAACAGGAUUAGAUACCCUGGUAGUCCACGCCCUAAACGAUGUCUACUAGUUGUCGGGUUUUAAUUAACUUGGUAACGCAGCUAACGCGUGAAGUAGACCGCCUGGGGAGUACGGUCGCAAGAUUAAAACUCAAAGGAAUUGACGGGGACCCGCACAAGCGGUGGAUGAUGUGGAUUAAUUCGAUGCAACGCGAAAAACCUUACCUACCCUUGACAUGUCAGGAAGACCGGAGAGAUUUGGUUGUGCCCGAAAGGGAACCUGAACACAGGUGCUGCAUGGCUGUCGUCAGCUCGUGUCGUGAGAUGUUGGGUUAAGUCCCGCAACGAGCGCAACCCUUGUCAUUAGUUGCUACAUUUAGUUGGGCACUCUAAUGAGACUGCCGGUGACAAACCGGAGGAAGGUGGGGAUGACGUCAAGUCCUCAUGGCCCUUAUGGGUAGGGCUUCACACGUCAUACAAUGGUACAUACAGAGGGCCGCCAACCCGCGAGGGGGAGCUAAUCCCAGAAAGUGUAUCGUAGUCCGGAUCGUAGUCUGCAACUCGACUACGUGAAGUUGGAAUCGCUAGUAAU